GUGGUUGGAUCUUCAUGAUCCGUACGUAGGUAACUGCAAUUCACUACAACAAAAACGGUCUAUAGUGACACGUUUAAGUAUAGGUAUAUGUCAAAAAAGUGCUGCUAGCUAAAAUUACCGACACUUUUAAAAAGUGUUGCUAUAUGUGGGGUCGCUAGGUAUAUAGUGACAGUUAAAGAGUGUCGCUAUAACCUAAAAGAGUGCUGCUAAUUUACCAACACUUAUUUGAGCAUUUAGCAAUUGCCGAAACUCUAUCUCGUUGGCUGCGAUGGCGGAGGAGGACGACAGGAAAGGCUUUUCGUCUAGAAUUUCAGUGGAUUGAGUGAAGAGAGAAGAAAAGAUGGUAAUUGAUUUUUCUUUUUUUUUUUUCUUU
rnacentral:lncRNA from 1 species